AUGGAUGCUUGCUUCCAUAGUAAAAUUGGAAGGAUACAGAGAAGAUUAGCAUGGCCCUAGCACAAGAAUGACACCCAAAUUCGUGAAGCUUUCCAUAUUAAA
rnacentral:snRNA from 1 species